CCUACGGGUGGCAGCAGUGGGGAAUAUUGCGCAAUGGGCGAAAGCCUGACGCAGCGACGCCGCGUGAGGGAUGAAGGCUUUCGGGUUGUAAACUUCUUUUCUCAGGGACGAAGCAAGUGACGGUACCUGAGGAAUAAGCCACGGCUAAAUACGUGCCAGCAGCCGCGGUAAUACGUAGGUGGCAAGCGUUAUCCGGAUUUACUGGGUGUAAAGGGCGUGUAGGCGGGACUGCAAGUCAGAUGUGAAAACCACGGGCUCAACCUGUGGCCUGCAUUUGAAACUGUUCUUCUUGAGUGAUGGAGAGGCAGGCGGAAUUCCGUGUGUAGCGGUGAAAUGCGUAGAUAUACGGAGGAACACCAGUGGCGAAGGCGGCCUGCUGGACAUUAACUGACGCUGAGGCGCGAAAGCGUGGGGAGCAAACAGGAUUAGAUACCCUUGUAGUC
rnacentral:rRNA from 1 species